UACGGAAGGGGCAAGCGUUGUCCGGAUUGACUGGGCGUAAAGCGCACGCAGGCGGCUGUGCACGUGGGGUGUGAAAGCUGGCGGCUUAACUGCCAGACGCCACCUCAUACGGCACGGCUCGAGCCCGUGAGAGGUCCACGGAAUUGCCGGUGUAGUGGUGAAAUGCGUAGAGAUCGGCAGGAACACCCAGGGGGAAACCAGUGGACUGGCACGGUGCUGACGCUCAGGUGCGAAAGCGUGGGGAGCGAACCGG
rnacentral:rRNA from 1 species